GUCUUCAUGCUUGAGGAUAUUAAAAAGCCACCUGGACAUGGUCCCGGGCAACCAACCCUAGGGGCUCUGCUUGAGCCAGGGGGCUGGAUCAGAUGGGCUCCAGAGGUGCCUUCCAACCUCAACUAUCCUGUGAUUGUGUGAGUGGUGGCUUAGAUAAGCAUCAGGGGCUCUGACUUAAAAUCGCUCAAGUGCGGCAACUGAGUCUGCCAAGGGACCUAUGGAUCAAAGUUCCUAAGGAUGGGGAGUGAAAAAAAAAAAGGAGCCCAUCCAUGAUGUGAUUCAAGAAAACUCACCUUUGCUUCCUCAACUGGCACAUAAUUGCUGCUCUCCUCGUUGUGACCCAUGGGUGUGAACAAGGCAUGUUGGAGGGAUGUGCCCUCUGCCUGAUGCUCCCCUAAUUACUUAUGAGGCAUUUUGUGAUCUGCUGCAGUUUGAGGCCUGGCAUUUUAAAGUUAAUGAAGAUCAAUGUCAGAUUGUCUUA